CAUGCAAGUCGAGCGAAGCUUUUCAGUAGUUUACUACAGAAAAUGACUGAGCGGCGAACGGGUGAGUAACGCGUGAGCAAUCUACCUUAGUUACAGGGAUAGCCCGAGGAAACUCGGAUUAAUACCUGAUAUUCUUUAUUUCUCGCAUGAGAAUAAAAGGAAAGGUCAGCCGAACUAAGAUGAGCUCGCGUUCUAUCAGCUAGUUGGUGAGGUAAAAGCUUACCAAGGCUACGACGGAUAGCUGGUCUGAGAGGACGAUCAGCCACACUGGGACUGAGACACGGCCCAGACUCCUACGGGAGGCUGCAGCAGGGAAUAUUGUGCAAUGAACGAAAGUUUGACACAGCGACACCGCGUGUGGGAUGACGGAUCUAGGUUUGUAAACCACUUUCAGGAGGGAAGAAAAUGACGGUACCUCCACAAGAAGCCCCGGCCAACUACGUGCCAGCAGCCGCGGUAAUACGUAGGGGGCGAGCGUUGUCCGGAUUUAUUGGGCGUAAAGAGCUCGUAGGCGGUUCAACAAGUCGGUCGUGAAAGUUCAGGGCUCAACCCUGAAAUGUCGAUCGAUACUGUUGUGACUAGGAUACGGUAGAGGUGAGU
rnacentral:rRNA from 1 species